UCGGGAAUUUUGGGCAAUGGGCGAAAGCCUGACCCAGCAACGCCGCGUGAAGGAUGAAGUAUUUCGGUAUGUAAACUUCGUAAGAAUAGGAAGAAUAAAUGACGGUACUAUUUGUAAGGUCCGGCUAACUACGUGCCAGCAGCCGCGGUAAUACGUAGGGACCAAGCGUUGUUCGGAUUUACUGGGCGUAAAGGGCGCGUAGGCGGUGUGUCAAGUCAGUUGUGAAAUCUCCGAGCUUAACUCGGAACGGUCAACUGAUACUGUCACACUAGAGUACAGAAGGGGCAAUCGGAAUUCUUGGUGUAGCGGUGAAAUGCGUAGAUAUCAAGAGGAACACCUGAGGCGAAGGCGGGUUGCUGGGCUGAUACUGACGCUGAGGCGCGAAAGCUAGGGUAGCAAACGGGAUUAGAUACCCUCGUAGUCCCUGAGCGGGCUGGCAAGGCGCAU
rnacentral:rRNA from 1 species